UGCCAGGUGGCCUAAUGGUAGGGCGUCGCACUGUUAAUGCGAAAAGUGCUGGUUCGACUCCAGUCCUGGCAGCCA
rnacentral:tRNA from 1 species